rnacentral:tRNA from 1 species
UGGGAUGUACCUCAACUGGUAGAGUGCUUGCCUUGCAUGCACAAGGCCCUGGGUUCGAUCCCCAGCACCACAC